rnacentral:rRNA from 1 species
UACGGAGGGUGCAAGCGUUAAUCGGAAUUACUGGGCGUAAAGCGUGCGCAGGCGGUUUGUUAAGUCUGUUGUGAAAUCCCCGAGCUCAACUUGGGAAUUGCAAUGGAUACUGGCAGGCUGGAGUAUGGUAGAGGAAGGUGGAAUUCCCGGUGUAGCAGUGAAAUGCGUAGAGAUCGGGAGGAACACCAGUGGCGAAGGCGGCCUUCUGGACCAAUACUGACGCUCAUGCACGAAAGCCAGGGGAGCAAACGGG